rnacentral:misc_RNA from 1 species
GGAUAACUUUCCGACCAUGUCAGAAAUCAUGGAGGCAUCGAGAUCCCAAAAUCUUGAUCUUCAGCUGAAAACAUUAGGGCCCUUUUUCAGAAUCACAGCGAAGAGCAUAAAAACCCAAAGAGACCUUGGAAAAGCUGAGGGUUUGAUAAGGGUUUGGUUUCAAGGUAAAAUUCUACAUUUAGACUCAAUCAGACUUCAGAGAGAGACUCUGGGGAUGGAAAAAUCAAUAUUUGGGAUUGGAUUGUUUAUUGGAGCAGUCGCAAUUAGGCAUGGUUAUGACUCUGGUUGUAAAAAAGCU